rnacentral:lncRNA from 1 species
GGAUUGGAUGAUCUUUUGGGUAAGUUAUGUGAUAUUCUUGUUUUUAUUGUAAAAUGAGUUACUGUUAAAUUGGUUUUCUAGGUCAAUAUUGAUGUUGGCCAUUUCUGGGAUGAAAUUGAGUGUUGGCUAUCUGUGAUUUUGAUCAGGGGAUAGAGCUUGAAAUCUUUGAGAAUUUGUUUAGACUUGUAUUUUUCAAAUAUUUUGGGAUUACUUUUAUUGGAAAGGACUAUAAAUUUUAAGUUUACACAGCUUAAGUAGAUUCUUGAUGGUAUGGGCUCUUUAUUUGUUUCUCUAAUGCCUUGGAUCAAUGUUCUCGAAAUGGGGAAAAGGGAGUGUGAGAAAUAUGUCGAGCUUCGAUGAGUUUUUGUAGACUUCCAAUUUUUAGGCACACUUUUGAUGUUAUAUUUACU